GCAGGCUGUCAGGCUGUAGAAUCACACAGAGAGGCUGUGAUUCUCUGGCUUCAGCUCUGUGUUCAAACCCCUCACACCUGAGAGAGUUGGACCUCAGCUACAAUCACCCAGGAGACUCUGGAGUGAGAGCGCUGUCUGCUGCUAAACUGGACACACUCACACUGCUUGUGGACCAUGGAGGAGAGACCAGGACCAAACCAAGACCCAGGAAAUACCGCUGUCAGCUCACACUGGAUCCAAACACAGCGCACAGAUGGCUGUCUCUGUCUGAGGGGAACAGAAAGGUGACACACACACAGGGGAGAAGGGAGCCAUAUCCUGAUCAUCCAGAGAGAUUUGAGUCUCUGCUCCAGGUUGUGUGCAGAGAGAGUGUGUGUGAGCGCUGUUACUGGGAGGCUGAGUUCAGUGUGUCUGAGGGGUGGGGAGGGGUUUAUAUAGCAGUGACAGAUAAAGGAAUCAGCAGGAAAGGAGAGGGUUCUGACUGUAGGUUUGGAUGGAAUAAAAACUCCUGGAGUCUGGAGUGCAUUAAACUCAGUGACUCUGGUAAACUCAGUUACUCUGUCAGGCACAAUGUGAACCAAACAGACAUACCUGCCCUCACCUCCCCCUACCGCAGAACAGGAGUGUGUGAUGAUGAUGAUGGUAGAGGAGUGUGUGUGUACAGGGUAGCAGUGUGUGUGGACCACUCUGUCCUUCUACAGCGUCUCUGACUCUGACACACUGACCCUCCUGCACAAAUUCCACACACACUUCACUCAACACACACCCCUCUGUGCUGGAUUUUAUGUGUGGAGAUCCUCAGUGUCCCUCUGCCAGCUGGAGUAGAGAGACACACACACACUCAUAUACACAUUCACACACGCACGCACACACAAACAUGCACACACUCACCCACCUGCACACACACACACGUGCGCAUACACACUCGCAUGCAUGCAUGCCACACACACACACUCACGUACACACACACACACCACACACACUCAUAUACACAUACACACAAACUCACACACACACACUGAGAUACACAUAGACACACACACCCACACCUACAUACUCUCACACACACCCUUUCUCUCUCAUACGCACACUCAUGCACACGCACUUACACACCUACGCACACACACACUCGUGCACACACACUCACACUCUCACACACACAUGCACACUCUCUCACACCCACUCACACCCCCAAUCACACACAUGCACACACACACCUACACACGAACACACAAUCUCUCGCACACACAAACACACACAUUCACCAGUGCACUCUCAUGCGCGCACACACACUUCACUCAACACACACCCCCCUGUGCUGGAUUUUAUGUGUGGAGAUCCUCAGUGUCCCUCUGCCAACUGGAGUAGAGACACACACACACGCACGUGCGCGCACACACAAACAUGCACACACAAACAUGCACAUGCACACACACGCAUAUACACAUACAUGUGCGCAGACACACUCGCAUGCACGCACGCACAAACACACACACACAUUCACGUACACACACACACACCGCAUUCAUAUACCCACUCACACACACACAACACACACACUCAUAUACACAUACACACACACUCACACAUACACACUCAGAUACAUAUAGACACACACACACAUACUCUCACACACACCUUUUCUCUCUCACACUCAUGAAUGCGCACUCACAAAUACACACGCUGAUGUACACUCAUGCACACGCACUCACACACCUACGCACGCACACACUCGUGCACACACACUCACACGCUUACACACACACACUCACACACCCAAUCACACACAUGCACACACACACCUACACACGGACACAUACAAUCUCUCGCACACACAAACACACACAUUCACCAGUGCACUCUCACGCGCACACACACACAUGCAUGCAUAUGUACGCACGCUCAUAACCGUAUGCACACACACACUCUCUCUCUAUCAUACUCAGUCACUCACACACACACCCUCUCUCUCUCACACACACACUCACAUCCACACACAUUCACACAAACGCACGCACACACACACAAACUCAUGCACUCACGCACACACACAUACAUGCGUGCAGAGACACAAACACGUGUCAACACACACACUCCUCAGUGUCCCUCUGCUAACUGGAGUAGAGACACACACACAUGCGCGCACACACAAACAUGCACACACAUGCAUACACUCACACAUGUGUGCAUACACACUCGAACGCAUGCACACACACACACACACACAUAUAUGUACACACACUCAUAUACACAUACACUCAAUCACACACUCACACACAUAUAUAAACACAAACAUUCAUAUACACCUAGACCCUCACAAACCCAAAUACACACGCUCAUACCCGUAUGCACACACACACUCUUUCUCUCACUCACACACUUACAUACAGUAUACAGACACACACAUUAGCAAACGCAUGCGCACACACACACACACUCAUGCACUCACGCACAAACACAAACAUGUGUCAACACACACACAUUCUCAUUCCUAUACGCACGCACACACAUGUAUACACACACAUUCUAUUACCUAUACGCACUCACACACACACAUACUCAUGCACUCACACAUGCACACACAUGCAUACAUUCUCAUACCCAUACAUACAAACACACACACACACGUAUAAACACACACACAUUCACAAAGGCACUCUCACGCACACACACAUACACAUACAUACACUCAUUCUCUUGCACGCGCACACACUCAAAUACACAGUCUCACACACAUUCACACAAACGCACGCACACACACUUUCUCUUACCCAUACACAUACGCACCUGUGUGCACACAUACUCAUGCACUCAAUCAUACUCUCACACAUGCACACACACAUACAUGCAUGCACACACACACAAUCUCUUACCCAUUCACACACGCAUACUCACGCACUCACACACACACGCAUACUCACGCACUCACACACAUGUUCACAUCAACAGUCACUCCCACAAACGUACGCAUGCACACACACACAAACACACUCUCACCCAAUCACACACAGGCACACACAUCGACACACUUGCAACCUUCCUUGACCAAUGCCUUACCAGUGCAAUUUCAGCUGUGCCCAAUAUUAGCCUCAGUACAGCUUAAACCCUGUACAUGAGAGUAUGAUCUUUUAGCAGGUUCAGGUUAAGCACUCGCUAUUUAAAUAUGAUUUUAUUUUUUUACAUUUUGAAAAAAUGUGUUUAUGUACUUUUGAUUAUUAAAACAUUAAUAUAAAAUUGAGACUAAUAAUGCCAAAAGAUGGCAGAGUAAAAUGUUUUUGAAAUAAUAAUUCUGUCUCCUGUAUCUGCAUCUUUGUAUAAAAGAAGCCAGUGGCAAACUCCUCCACUUAAAUGUGCAUUUUACUAGUUUUUACAGUUGCUUUCAUUCAUUUUCACAGGAGUUCCAAUGUGCAAACUUCUAUGGGCAAAUGCAGCUGAUAGGGAGAAUGCAGAAUGAUAACUGCAGUGUACUUAUUUUUUUUUCAUUACUGUAAACAAUGAUGGAUUGAGUUUCCUUAUUUAUUCUGAUAUGAUUGUUUUUUUUUUGUUUUUGUUUUUGCUUUAAUUUUCUGUGUUUUCAGACAAUAAUAUGCAGUGAUUAAACCUGAAUUAUAAAUAUAUCAAAUGUUUUGCUGUUGUGAUUUAUUAUUGUGUGAUGUAUUGAACUGCUGUGACACUGGUACUUAUUACAUAUUCUGUAUGGGUUUAUGUUUGGGCUCAAUAUGAGUGAAUCAGCAUGGGGCUAAAAUCUGCAGUUGAAGCAAGGA